UACGGAGGGGGCUAGCGUUGUUCGGAAUUACUGGGCGUAAAGCGCACGUAGGCGGUUUUUUAAGUCAGAGGUGAAAGCCCGGGGCUCAACUCCGGAAUUGCCUUUAAGACUGCAUCGCUAGAAUUGUGGAGAGGUAAGUGGAAUUCCGAGUGUAGAGGUGAAAUUCGUAGAUAUUCGGAAGAACACCAGUGGCGAAGGCGACUUACUGGACACAUAUUGACGCUGAGGUGCGAAAGCGUGGGGAGCAAACAGG
rnacentral:rRNA from 1 species